rnacentral:lncRNA from 1 species
UCAGACAUGAUGACCAAACCUCUACCGAGAGAGAAGUUUGAGUUUUGCAAAAGGGAAGCAGGCUUGUCAGAGCCUCCUAAAUUGAAGUUUACAUAUUGAUCGCCAGUAUGGCGAAUUCCUCACAUGGUGCGUGAGGGGGAGAUUUGUUGUGUGUGGUCCCGCACCAUGUGAUGGUGGGACCACCACAUUAAUUGGCAAGAGACUUUGUUGUCUCUUAAUUAAAAGCUGGAGCUGCCACUGUAGAGGCAGUAGCAAAAAUUAAAACAAGAGAGAAGAGAAAACCGAGAGAAAAAGAGAAGAAGAGGCAGCAGAGCAGUCCGUGCUCUUCCUUCGAUUCCCAGCUCGUUUACCGUUGGAUCGGGCUGAAAUUUUGACAGCAGCUUCUAGACGCGUUUCACUUCAUUCUGGACGGUUGGAUUGAAGAUUGGUGGCGUGGAAGCUGGCCGUUUUGACAGAAAACGGGGCUGUCAGUUUGUGAGUUUUUUCUCCAAUAAUUCUCUUAUAAUCUUGUUGUAAUCCGAGAAUAAGUUGUUCUUGAUGAUAUUAUGUUGUAUCCCUUAGUUGAAUCUGAGGAAGAACAGUUG